UGGGGAAUAUUGCACAAUGGAGGGAACUCUGAUGCAGCGACGCCGCGUGAGGGAUGGAGGCCUUCGGGUUGUAAACCUCUUUCAGUAAGGGUGAAGGCUCUCUUUUGUGGAGGGUUGACAGUACUUGCAGAAGAAGCGCCGGCUAACAACGUGCCAGCAGCCGCGGUAAUACGUAGGGCGCGAGCGUUAUCCGGAAUUAUUGGGCGUAAAGAGCUUGUAGGCGGUUCGUCGCGUCUGGUGUGAAAGCCCAUCGCUUAACGGUGGGUUUGCGCCGGGUACGGGCGGGCUAGAGUGCAGUAGGGGAGACUGGAAUUCCCGGUGUAACGGUGGAAUGUGUAGAUAUCGGGAAGAACACCAAUGGCGAAGGCAGGUCUCUGGGCUGUUACUGACGCUGAGAAGCGAAAGCGUGGGGAGCGAACAGG
rnacentral:rRNA from 1 species